GUGAUGUCAUAGAGUAAGCACACAGACCCUCAGCCAGAAGACCAGGAGGAGAGAUGGAGGUUUGCGCUGUCUUCUGGGGAUGGUUCGUUAUGGGAGUUCUAGUGGCCACAGUGUCGGUUACGCAGUCCUCUCAUCUUCAUCACUCCAGGCCAGGACCCACCCCCUGCUACCCCAUACGCCCCGUCACUCAGCACCGCCCUCUUUUUCGAUUACGCCGAUAAUGACGAGAACAGGACCAUCGAAAUCUCCAACCUCAUCGGGGAACACUAUGUGCCGGAUGAAAGUGGUUUUGCAUUUUCGGAUUAUGAAGACACCUGAUCCAGGUCUGAUAGUCAAUGAACUGUUACUGCAGUAAUCAGCCAUCACCGAAUAUUUAUAGGGAGACACUGGCCUAAAGGAAAGGAGGAGGAAGACACAAAUGGAUUGUAUCUCCGCUCUCGGAGGAGGAAGCAUCAGGCGGUUGCCAAUAAAAUCAUUUCUUUUCUAUUACUCAA